rnacentral:lncRNA from 10 species
GGAACGGAUUUCUCCUCACAGCCCUCAGAAGAAACCAACCCUGUCACCAUUUUGAUCUUGGACUUUAGCCUCUGGAACUGUGAGACAAUACAUUUCUGUUUGUUUCAGCCACCUAGUUCAUAGUACUUUGAAGUGACCUUUACACCACUCUCACUUAGAGAUGAGGUCUGUGUCCCCUCCUCUUGAAAUUGAGUGGCUUUUGUGACUGUGUACACAGGUAGAGUAAACUGCAGAGCUGCCUGUCUGUGACUUCCAAGGCUAGGUCAUAAAAGGAGAUAAAGCUUCUUCCUGGCUGGUUGGGCUGCUUGCUCUUGAAGCCUUCAGUCUCUAUGCACGCAGCAUGCCUUCCCAGCCUCCUGUGGUUGUAGAGUGUAUAGAAGGCAGUUGGAUCACUAUGGACAGCGGGUAAGAGCUGAGGAAGCAGCCUCCGCCAGGUGGUAACAUGGAGGACCCUGAAGUGCCCUGAGGGUUCGAGGUCUUGGACUUGCUACUAACCUACCAGGUAACCAUGGACAAUCCCGUUCUCCUUCUUGGAUUAAUAAUCAUAAAAGCCACACUUUACUGAGUCAUGAACAGGUUCAAGGUGCUGAUUGCUCACCACUCACAACAGUUCCUUGAGCAGGCCAAUUAAAUCAAGCAUAUUCCUCAGUAUCAUGGAGAGACUGGAGGUUAGAGACACCAAAACCAUCCCUGGCUUAAUGACUUUGGGAUCCCUGGGCCCCUCCAUGCAGCAGAACGGCAAUUAACCAAGACCAUUGGCCAUUCUCUGACCAUCUCAAGCCAGAGGUGACUUGAUCUGUCACCCAGCUGUGGCCCAUGAGCAUUAUCUAAGGAGGAACAUUUUUGCUUACGUUUCCAGUGCUCUACAUAAGCCCUAGGCCCUGGGAGGCACUGAAAUGCUCAAUGGGAGCUCCAUGUGUGCAGGCUUAUGGACUGAAAUACUACUUUCAUGGCUCUGGCUAUGAACAUCAGCAUAUAGAGAAUGGAUCACUACCAAAGAAGGCACCCGAAUGUGUCUGUCUCAUCCUGGGGAAACUCAUUCAUCUGUAUAUGUACUCAGCAAGUGUUUCCUGGCACCUGCUCUGGGUCACAGUGCUGGGCACUGGAAGCUGAGAGAUGUGGAAGAAGGCUGGACAUUCAAGGUAUGCACCCACACCUGCCUAGGGGACUCGUACCUGCAAACAAACAAAAGAUCACAGUGCAAGCUGACAAAUACUCUGAUAGAGGUGUGGGAAGAAAUGCUCCAGGAGCUCAGUGGAUUGGUGAAGUUUGCUUCAUUCAUUUAAGCAAAUAAAAAUGGGUUCUGGAUACAUUCAGCAAAAGAUGAUUUGGAAGGCAAGAAAGAUCUUGAUCACCAAGCUUAUGUGCUUGAUCUUGUGCUAUCCAGAGGGCUUCUGGCUAAUUCAUUGAACUUAAAGAUGAGAGAUAUAAUUUUCUUUUACAAAAAGACAAGUUUUCCAAAUUUGCUGACCUUUCCAAUGAUGACAGGUAGCUGUUGCUAUUAGAUAUUUUUGAAAAAGUAAACAUCUGUAAUCUGCCCUUUCAAGGUAAAGGCGAUAUUUUUUUAACAAUGAGUGAGAAAGGAACUGUUUUUUGAAACAGGUUUGUGUGCACAAAAGGAAGAACAUUUUAAAAUGGAUGUUUGAAGUGUUUCCACCAUUACAUGAUCCUAUUGCCUAAAAUUUUGUCAGGGUGUCACUUAUAAAAAUUGUUAUAUCUGUGUUCUAUAAAAACUUGGAAACAAAAUUUCCUAAAGUGUUAAAAAAUCUCCUACAUAAAAAAACCUGGAGGACUUUGUACACAUUUGUUCAAAAUGUAGAAAUGCUGCAUCUUCCAAUUCAUUUGCAGAAAUGAACAAUUGAUACGUGGAAUACAGAGAUCUAGUAAGCAAAUGUUCACAUUGUCUGUAUAAUUGGUAGGUGGGAUUGAAAAUGGGUCUAACAUGUACAAAGUGCAGCCAG